rnacentral:tRNA from 1 species
GGUAUGGUGGUUGAGUGGUAGAAUUCCCGCCUUCCACGCGGGAGACCUGGGUUCAAUUCCUGGCCAAUGCA